AAUUCAUGGUGAGGGCACCUUCUCAAAAGAUCCUUGUAUCUCUCCCAUGCAUCAUAGAGUGUUUCGAGAUCCAUCUGUACAAAAGUAGAAAUAUCAUUCCUUAACUU
rfam:Gossypium arboreum cultivar AKA8401 contig_104748_1, whole genome shotgun sequence.